rnacentral:rRNA from 1 species
AACGAACGCUGGCGGCAGGCCUAACACAUGCAAGUCGAACGCUGUAGCAAUACAGAGUGGCAGACGGGUGAGUAACGCGUGGGAACCUUCCCAGUGGUACGGAAUAGCUCAGGGAAACUUGAGGUAAUACCGUAUAAGCCCCUAGGGGGAAAGAUUUAUCGCCAUUGGAUGGGCCCGCGUCGGAUUAGCUAGUUGGUGAGGUAAUGGCUCACCAAGGCGACGAUCCGUAGCUGGUUUGAGAGAAUGACCAGCCACACUGGGACUGAGACACGGCCCAGACUCCUACGGGAGGCAGCAGUGGGGAAUAUUGGACAAUGGGCGCAAGCCUGAUCCAGCCAUGCCGCGUGAGUGACGAAGGCCUUAGGGUUGUAAAGCUCUUUUAGCAGGGACGAUAAUGACGGUACCUGCAGAAUAAGCUCCGGCUAACUUCGUGCCAGCCGCCGCCGUAACAC